CUACGGAACUCCUACGGGAGGCAGCAGUGGGGAAUAUUGCACAAUGGGCGGAAGCCUGAUGCAGCAACGCCGCGUGCGGGAUGACGGCCUUCGGGUUGUAAACCGCUUUCGCCUGUGACGAAGCGUGAGUGACGGUAAUGGGUAAAGAAGCACCGGCUAACUACGUGCCAGCAGCCGCGGUGAUACGUAGGGUGCGAGCGUUGUCCGGAUUUAUUGGGCGUAAAGGGCUCGUAGGUGGUUGACCGCGUCGGUAGUGUAAUCUUGGGGCUUAACCCUGAGCGUGCUUUCGAUACGGGUUGACUUGAGGAAGGUAGGGGAGAAUGGAAUUCCUGGUGGAGCGGUGGAAUGCGCAGAUAUCAGGAGGAACACCAGUGGCGAAGGCGGUUCCCCGGGCCUUUCCUGACGCUGAGGAGCGAAAGCGUGGGGAGCGAACAGGAUUAGAUACCCGAGUAGUCCUCUUCGA
rnacentral:rRNA from 1 species